CCUACGGGAGGCAGCAGUGGGGGAUAUUGCACAAUGGGGGAAACCCUGAUGCAGCGACGCCGCGGGGGUGAAGAAGUACCUCGUCACGUAAAGCUCUGUCAGCAGGGAAGAAAAUGACGGUACCUGAGGAAGAAGCCCCGGCUAACUACGGGCCAGCAGCCGCGGUAAUACGUAGGGGGAAAGCGUUAUCCGGAUUUACUGGGGGUAAAGGGGGCGUAGACGGCGAUGCAAGCCAGGAGUGAAAGGCGGGGGCCCAACCCCGGGACUGCUCUUGGAACUGCGUGGCUGGAGUGCAGGAGGGGCAGGCGGAAUUCCUGGUGUAGCGGUGAAAUGCGUAGAUAUUAGGAGGAACACCGGUGGCGAAGGCGGCCUGCUGGACUGCAACUGACGUUGAGGCCCGAAAGCGUGGGGAGCAAACAGGAUUAGAUACCCUAGUAGUC
rnacentral:rRNA from 1 species